rnacentral:piRNA from 1 species
AGCUCUAGAUCAUUCGGAAGACGCA